AUUGAACGCUGGCGGAAUGCUUUACACAUGCAAGUCGAACGGCAGCACGGGGCAACCUGGUGGCGAGUGGCGAACGGGUGAGUAAUACAUCGGAACGUGCCCAAUCGUGGGGGAUAACGUAGCGAAAGUUACGCUAAUACCGCAUACGAUCUACGGAUGAAAGCGGGGGAUCGCAAGACCUCGCGCGAAUGGAGCGGCCGAUGUCAGAUUAGGUAGUUGGUGGGGUAAAGGCUCACCAAGCCAACGAUCUGUAGCUGGUCUGAGAGGACGACCAGCCACACUGGAACUGAGACACGGUCCAGACUCCUACGGGAGGCAGCAGUGGGGAAUCUUGGACAAUGGGCGCAAGCCUGAUCCAGCAAUGCCGCGUGCAGGAUGAAGGCCUUCGGUUGUAAACUGCUUUGUACGGAACGAAAAGACUUCGGGCUAAUACCCUGAAGUCAUGACGGUACCGUAAGAAUAAGCACCGGCUAACUACGUGCCAGCAGCCGCGGUAAU
rnacentral:rRNA from 1 species